rnacentral:rRNA from 1 species
GAUGAACGCUGGCGGUAUGCUUAACACAUGCAAGUCGAACGGACUCUUCGGAGUUCGUGGCGGACUGGUGAGUAACGCGUGAGAAUCUGGCUUUGGGUUCGGGACAACCACUGGAAACGGUGGCUAAUACCGGAUGUGCCGAGAGGUAAAAGUGAAAUUGCCUGAAGAGGAGCUCGGGUCUGGUUAGCUCGUUGGGGAGGUAAAGUCUCACCAAGGCAGCGAUCAGUAGCUGGUCUGAGCGGACGAACGGCCACACCGGCACUGGGACACGGCCCAGACGCCUAUGGGAGGCAGCGGUGGAGAAUGUUCCGGAAUGGGCGAGUGCCUGACGGAGGAAUACGGCGUGAGGAAAGAAGGCUGUUGGGUUGUAAGCCUCUUUGCUUAGGGAAGAACAAAAUGACGGUACCUAAGGAAGCAGCAUCGGCUAACUCCGUG